AGUGAGUGACUCAUAAAUCCACUGCCUUUCACUCUUCUCCUUCCCAUCUUCUCAAUCCCACCCGCUUCACUUGAAGUUCUAUCUGUAAUUCACAGUCCCAUAACUAUUCCCCUUAUUUUUAUUCAGCCCUGGGCUAUUUUUCUUUUCUUUGCCGGUUCCUCAUGCUCACACAUUUGUAAUUAUUCAUUCCACUUUCCCCUUCCUUUUAAUCCAGCUAUACAGUAUUUUCUAUUUUAUCUAGAUGAAAAUUUUUGAGGAUUUGUAGUUCCUCUUUCUUAGCUUUUUGUAGAAGUUUUCCUGUAUUCAGUCUUCUGGUAAUGUUCUC
rnacentral:lncRNA from 1 species